rnacentral:misc_RNA from 1 species
AAGUCGUAACAAGGUAUCGGUAGGUGAACCUGCCGAUGGAUCAUUACACUUUUUGAUUAUCAAUUGUAUCAUUGCUUUGUGGUGGUGAUAUAGUUGUUGAUUUUCAUAAUAUAUUCACUCUAUUAUUUUACUUUACUUUACGUUACGCGUGUGAAAUAACUUUGAUGUUAUUUCUCUACUACUACUACUACAAACAACUCAUAAUAUUGAAAUCGAAAUCACAAGACAUUUUCUCUCGUGAUUGAUACAAAACCAUUUAUAUACGACUCUUAACAACGGAUAUCUUGGUUCUC